rnacentral:rRNA from 1 species
CAGCAGCCGCGGUAAUACGAAGGGGGCUAGCGUUGCUCGGAAUUACUGGGCGUAAAGGGAGCGUAGGCGGAUCGUUAAGUUGGGGGUGAAAGCCCGGGGCUCAACCUCGGAACUGCCUUCAAUACUGGCGAUCUUGAGUAUGAGAGAGGUGUGUGGAACUCCGAGUGUAGAGGUGAAAUUCGUAGAUAUUCGGAAGAACACCAGUGGCGAAGGCGACACACUGGCUCAUUACUGACGCUGAGGCUCGAAAGCGUGGGGAGCAGACAGGAUUAGAUACCCGGGUAGUCCCUGUCUCUUAUAA